UAAAUUCUCCUCUACCAAGUCAGGGCCAGGUCCUGUUAACGGUGAAAAAAAAUCGUUAUGAAGAUCAUCAAAUCCCGGAAAUAUCCCAUAAUCCGUAUUCGCUAACAAAUCCAAGAACGGUAUGUCCAUCAUCAGUUCACUACCAUCUAUCUGCGCAGUCAAAUCCGACACUACUGAAGGACAAGGAGACUCCGCUUGCAAUUCCGUUACAGAUUGAUCCGUUGAAGAAUUCUCCAAUUGUUUUCUCGAAGGAUACGAAUUCGCAAACCUAGC
rnacentral:lncRNA from 1 species